rnacentral:rRNA from 1 species
UUCGCAAUGCCCGAAAGGGUGACGAAGCGACGCCGCGUGUGGGAAGAAGGCCUUCGGGUUGUAAACCACUGUCGGGAGUUAAGAAAUGCAAGGAUAUUAAUAGUGUCUUUGUUUGACUAAGGCUCCGGAGGAAGCCACGGCUAACUCUGUGCCAGCAGCCGCGGUAAUACAGAGGCGGCAAGCGUUGUUCGGAAUUAUUGGGCGUAAAGAGCACGUAGGCGGCCGUGUAAGUCGGUUGUGAAAGCCUUCCGCUCAACGGAAGAACGGCAUCCGAUACUGCAUGGCUCGAGCGCGGGAGGGGAGAGUGGAACUUCUGGUGGAGCGGUGAAAUGCGUAGAUAUCAGAAGGAACGCCGGCGGCGAAAGCGGCUCUCUGGCCCAUAACUGACGCUGAGUGUGCGAAAGCUAGGGGAGCAAACGGGAUUAGAUACCCCGGUAGUCCUAGCCGUAAACGAUGGGCACUAAGUAGAGGGGUUUU